GAAUAUUCCGAGGAUCUCAUUUUCCGUCAGAAUGUCCGUCAGAAUUACGAUGUUUUCUUGUAGUUCUUGUAGUGAUCAUCCAGUUUUAAACAUCUUAACACACAAAAACUUGAAUGAUUUUGAUAAACUUGAUUUCACUGCCUAGCACUCAAUGUUUUUGAACGAUAUAUGUAAAUAGGUUAAUCAAUAAUCCAACCAUUGCAGUUGAACAGAAGCACAAUUUCUUGCCAAUAUGAAACUUAGACUCAUAGUUUACAAACAAUUGCAUGAAUAAUUUCUGAGAACAUGACUGUUUUUUUUUUUUGCUGAAUUUCUGCAACUCGGUCAAAUCAUGAAAAGUCGAGUGUUAAUAAUAAUGAUUGAAUUGACUUUUGUAGGAAUAAGCAUAACUGGUUUCGUUAUAGAACUUUAUAUAAAGAGAACGUGGUUAGUUUUUAAGUUAAAGUAAAUACAAUUAUAGAAUACUUUUAAGUUAAAGUAAAUGCAGUUAUCAAUAGAUGUAAUAUUGAUAUUAAAAAUAAUUGUUGGACUAAACUAAUAUCAACUGGACAUAUGUUCCAGAUUUAAUAGUAUUGAUUGAAAAUCAAUAUACAAUACUAAAAGGGGAAUACCCUCAUCGUUUAGGCUCUCCACGUCGGAUGAAAUAUUUAGCCAAUGGCAUCGCAUGUUUCUUCCACGUCAGAAUCGAUUGGGCCUCUAUGUUUUUUUUUUUUGAUACGGAGUUAGCCCGUAAGCCCGUUACUUUACGCAAAAAGAGAGGACCUCCUCGACGAACCUUAGCUUCCUUCUCUUUUGCGCAGACAACGAUCUGAUUCCUAAGAUCUGAUCCCUUUCUGGGUUUCGUAAUCUGGAUGUGAUUGACAUGGAUCAGAUCGAAGUCACCAAUCUCAAUCGCCAGUUCCUCUUCAGACUUGAGGAUGAGGAAAGCCUAAGGAAGAGGUAGCUGCAAAGCGUGUCAUGGAGAGAGUGAGUGGAGUGGAGAUUGUGCCGCAUUUUUCACGUAUAGAAGACAAAGAGCUUGAAUUUUAUAACUAUUUUAAUAUCAUUGCUCUUGGUCUUGAUUCCAUCGAAGCUGCUCUAUUUUUUAUUAGUGGCUCUCACCUUGGUCUGACGAGUCUGAUCAUGCUGUUAAAUCAAUUUCUCAAAUUAAGGCUGCUCUAUUUUUUGAAGCUGCUCUAGAGUUAGUAGUCGUUUGAACCUGCUCUAUUUUUUAUUUGAUCAAAGACCAAUAAUCGCUUCUGCAGCUGAGUCUUUUGUUAACCGCAUCCAUGGUGAAGCACUCACAAGAACACAAUAACCAGACCAAGUCUUGCAAGGCUAGAGGAUCGAAAUAGAAGUUUCCGAUAUUCAUAGGAAUCAAUGGGACAAUCUCAAAUUGGUCAAUCUUAGGGUUCACUUCAAGAACACUCGCUAAACAAUGCACGCUGUCAGGAAGCUAUCAGGAAGCUACCAUUGCUCAAGGCCAAGAGGUACCUUGAGGAUGUGAUAGCUCACAAACAGGCUAUUACUUUCACCCGUUUCUGCAGAGGUGUUGGAAGGAAUGCUCUAGCUAAUAACAUGCAUUCCAAUGGUCAAGAACGUUGGCCUGCUAAAUCUGCUCAAUUUGUUCUUGAUUCUCUCAAGAACGCUGAGAUCAAUGCUGAGGUUGUAUCUACCUUUCAAACGUAACCUACGACAGUGGUGUCAUCCCAUAUACUUCUUUCUGAUUUGAAGUGCGGUUUCUGUCCUGAAACUGUGGUCACGCGCCUGCUGCGUUUUUGGGAAACAAGAAACGUGAAGAAGGGGAGGGAGGGGAGUUAAUGGGGGUUUGACAUGCUCCUCCUUGAUGCAAAGGUUUGUCUCUUCUAAUUUCAUUGAUGAUAAAUUAUAGAUCUUUCAGUUCCUUCUCAUAAACUGAUGAGCAGGUUUGUCUCCUAUAUUCCCUCAAUGAUAUCUUUUGGCGUCAAGCCUAAGGUGAUCGUAGCUACCAGCAUUAAUCCAAAAUUCGUCGGAGGUAGCUAUCUUGAACUUCAUCUUUAAAACAAGUUUAACUAUCUUUGUCAAUCUCCCAGGCCGCCUCUUACUGAAUGCAACUUCUGGCACUCAUUUCUGUUUCGACAAAGACAAACGCAAGUGAGACCUUCAUCCGAUUUGGGUGUUGGUGACGUGAACUGCUUCACAAGUUUCACCAAAUAUGAAGGUGUAAGAAAAUUGAAGUUGUGACGGUCUUUGAGCUUAACACAUACGUUGUUAACUCGACCCCACAGGUUACCGAGUUUUGUGCACUGAAAAAGCUGAGUUGAUUGAAACGGGCAGUGGCUGUGCUACAUAUCCUGCUCUAAUGGGAUCUCUUCCUGCAUGUAGUGACUUAACCUCUGUUGGUGUUGUCAGAUGGUGACAAGACAAGUGCCACUGAUCCGAGCACUUGACGUAAUGACCUCUCCAUGAACCCCAGGGGUCCAUCUGCAGCAGAAGCAACAAGUGAUGAACUCAAUUAUGGCAGAAUCAUUGCAUAGCAACAACAGCUUCCAGGAGCUGGUUACCCACUCAAGAAGGCUCGCACAGAUUGAUUUUGAGGAUAAAUACAUGCAGUGUUUCAUGCGUGACAAUCCAAAAUCACAAACUUUGACGACCCUAAUUUUAUUAACAAGAAGUCAAGAAGGUUCGAAGAUUUUAACUCCCUAUGUAAGUUGGGUGACUGGUGUGCCAGUAGUUCAUAUCUUUAACUUGCAAUAUGACAGAUAUUGAACAAGUGUUCAAGCAUUAAUAUGACAAUGCUAUCUAUCUUUAUGGUAUAAUAAUAUUAUGGAGAGAA